GCAUGAGAUAUAUUUUUUAAAUGACUUACUGAUCAAUUCUAUUUGACCAAGGCUAUCGAAUCCAUGCAAAAAGCAACGGCAAAUCCGUUGCUUUUUUUGAG
rnacentral:sRNA from 1 species